CGUUGUUACCCACAAUCACUAAUAAAUGAUUAUUGAAUUCUUGGCAAAAUAAAAAAGAUUAUAGAAUAAUGUGUUUUUGAAGCAUUUUCAUCUUUGACUUCUCUUGCUUUGCAAAGGAUACCAUCGUUGAGAGAACUUAGGGUAAAAAUCGCUUAUAAAAGAAUGACGAUUUCUUUUGCCGUAGGAAACUAUUCCAGAAAUAUGAGCUAUUUACUAAACUUUGUAUCAAUUUGGAUUUCUCCCCAAGAAAAAGAAUCUCUUAAAGAGCGUAAAUCAUGUUAUAGAGACUGUGUUCGAAAUUGAUAAGCGGUUUGUUUAUAUGGAAUUCAUCAACGUUUCUCAAAUGCCCAGAUCCAUUAAAUUUGAUCUGUCUUAAAUAAAUUUUGGAUGUUGAUUUUUAACUAAUUCUUUUCUAGAAGAUAUUUGAUAAAACCGAAUUGACAAUUUGAUAUCUGCAUUUUUGUCAUUGCUGGUCUUGAUACAUCUAAGAAUCAUUGAUCUCUACUGCCUAUCUGCCAUUGAUUCAAAUAUUAUGCGUAAAAAUAGAUGUAAAUUGUUUAUAACAUGAUGAUUGAUUAACAAAAUUGGCAUACAUUCUUGGCAUUCUGGAGUCUUGAGGCCGAUAAAUAAAAACUUAAGAAACAAAGCGAUCAAUUGAAGUGAAAUUAUUGUUAAAAAAAGGGAAAAAAAGACAUAUUAAAAUCAAUUUUGGAAUAAAACUUGAUUUUCUAAGCGGCUUCGAUUUAGCACUCGCACCUUGCAUGGAUACUCUGAUCAAGCUCACGCCACUGAUUUGAAUGCGAAUUAAAAAAAAGUCAAUUCAAAUAGUCAUCAAUAAAUAAUAGCAAUAAAAAAUUUAAUCAUAGACAAAUUUGAAAUAAUAUAACAAUUAUAGAC